rnacentral:rRNA from 1 species
UACAGAGGUCUCAAGCGUUGUUCGGAUUUAUUGGGCGUAAAGGGCUCGUAGGCGGUUUGUCGCGUCGGGAGUGAAAACCUACAGCUUAACUGUGGGCUUGCUUUCGAUACGGGCAGACUAGAGGUAUGCAGGGGAGAACGGAAUUCCUGGUGUAGCGGUGAAAUGCGCAGAUAUCAGGAGGAACACCGGUGGCGAAGGCGGCUCUCUGGGACGGUACUGACGCUGAGACGCGAAAGCGUGGGGAGCGAACAGG